CGAGCGAAGUACCAGAGUAUCGGGCUCUUAGCGGCAGACGGGUGAGUAACACGUAAACUAUCUGCCCUCGAAUGGGAGACAACCUGGCGAAAGUCGGGCUAAUACCCCAUACAAUCCUCUCGGAGCAUUCCGAGGGGAUGAAAGGCCCGCAAGGGUCGUUCGAGGAGGAGUUUGCGGCCUAUCAGCUAGUUGGCGGUGUAACGGACCACCAAGGCUAUGACGGGUAGCCGAUCUAAAAGGAUGACCGGCCACAAGGGCACUGAGACACGGGCCCUACUCCUACGGGAGGCAGCAGUGGGGAAUUUUGGACAAUGGACGAAAGUCUGAUCCAGCGACGCCGCGUGAAGGACGAAGGUUUUCGGAUCGUAAACUUCUUUUGCAGGGGACGAAAGGGCGCAAGCCUCUGACGGUACUCUGCGAAUAAGCCACGGCUAAC
rnacentral:rRNA from 1 species